rnacentral:lncRNA from 1 species
CCUCCUCCGUUGUAUCCUCCUCCUCCACGGCCUCCUCCUCCUCCAUGGUGUCCUCCUCCGUUGUAUCCUCCUCCGUUGUGUCCUCCUCCGUUGUAACCUCCCCCUCCGUUGUAACCUCCCCCUCCGUUGUAACCUCCGCCUCCGUUGUAGCCUUGGCCACCACCACCAGAAUGGUCAGGUUGUAAGGUAUCCUCACUCUCUGACUUCACUGCAAACCCAAAACAGCACAUUUUCAAAAAUACUAUUAUAGCACGUGCAGAUGUGCAUUCCUUUCCCGGAUUUCUAAAAUUUUCUCUUGAAAUCUUUCUAAAUCAUCUAUAUAAAUUCGUAGUAUAUAUAACUUUUCUUUAAAGAUAUGGUACACAACAUUGUAUAUAAUUUCUAUAUAAAAUUUGCUUUAAAUGUUUGAGAUGGUCCUGAUACGCAUAAUAAGACUUCUUGACUACAUCUUACAUACUUAUAUGUUUGGACCUGAGUAAGUCAAAAUAUCGUAGUUCGAACCAACUUUCCUGACUUAGAGGGAACGAAAUAGUUGGAUCCAAGUAUCCUUGCAAUAAUUUUGGGCUUUGUGUAAAGAUUCCAACGAAAAGAAACGUAAAAUUUACAACAUUCAAUAUACGUUCAAAUUCAGUUAGCCUCACAAAUUUUUAUCUAUUUAGACUCAAUAUAUAAAAGAGUUUUACGUACCUG